UACGAAGGGGGGCUAGCGUUGCUCGGAAUCACUGGGGCGUAAAGCGCACGUAGGCGGCUUUCUAAGUCAGGGGUGAAAUCCUGGAGCUCAACUCCAGAACUGCCUUUGAUACUGGAGAGCUUGAGUCCGGAAGAGGUGAGUGGAAACUCCGAGUGUAGAGGUGAAAUUCGUAGAUAUUCGGAAGAACACCAGUGGCGAAGGCGGCUCACUGGUCCGGUACUGACGCUGAGGUGCGAAAAGCGUGGGGGAGCAAAC
rnacentral:rRNA from 1 species